GUAAACGGCGGCCGUAACUAUAACGGUCCUAAGGGAGCGAAAUUCCUUGUCGGUUAAAUACCGGCCUGCAUGAAUGGCGUAACGAGAUGGGAACUGUCUCAAAGAGGGAUCCAGUGAAAUGGUAGUGGAGGUGAAAAUUCCUCCUCCCCGCGGCAAGACGGAAAGGCCGCGUGGACGUUUACUACAGCUUGACACUGCGACUUGGAUUUGGAUGUGCAGGAUAAGUGGGAGGCUUUGGUGUAUAUGACGCCAGUUGUAUAUGGGCCAUUGUUUAGAUACCACUCUUUCUUAUUUGGGUGGCUAACCAGCUUGAGUGAUCCUCAAGUGGGAUAAUGUCUGGUGGGUAGUUUGUCUGGGGCGGUCGCCUCGCAAAUAAAAACGGAGGCUUACAAAGGUUGGCUCAGAUCGUUUGGAAAUCGUUCGUAGGGUAUAAAGGUAUAAGCCAGCUUAACUGCAAGACAUAAAAGUCAAGCAAAGACGAAAGUCGGUCUUUGGGAUCCGGUGGUUCUGUGUGGAAGGGCCAUCGCUCAAAGGAUAAAAGGUACCCCGGGGAUAACAGGCUGAUCUCCCCCAAGAGCUCACAUCGACGGGGAGGUUUGGCACCUCGAUGUCGGCUCAUCGCAUCCUGGGGCUGGAGCAGGUCCCAAGGG
rnacentral:rRNA from 1 species